rnacentral:rRNA from 1 species
GACGAACGCUGGCGGCGUGCCUAAUACAUGCAAGUCGAGCGGAAGUUGGAGAGCUUGCUCUUCAACUUUAGCGGCGGACGGGUGAGUAACACGUUGGCAACCCGCCCUGCAGAUCGGGAUAACUCCGGGAAACCGGUGCUAAUACCGAAUAGUUUUCGCCACCUCCUGGUGGCGUACGGAAAGACGGUUUCGGCUGUCGCUGCAGGAUGGGCCCGCGGCGCAUUAGCCAGUUGGUGGGGUAACGGCCCACCAAGGCGACGAUGCGUAGCCGACCUGAGAGGGUGAUCGGCCACACUGGGACUGAGACACGGCCCAGACUCCUACGGGAGGCAGCAGUAGGGAAUCUUCCGCAAUGGACGAAAGUCUGACGGAGCAACGCCGCGUGAGUGACGAAGGUUUUCGGAUCGUAAAACUCUGUUGUGAGGGAAGAACAAGUACCAACUAACUACUGGUACCUUGACGGUACCUCACCAGAGAGCCACGGCUAACUACGUGCCAGCAGCCGCAGUAA